ACUGGUGAUGUUUUAGCUAGUAAAGUUCAUGAAUGCUUGAAGGAGUGGGGAAUUGAGAAAAAAGUGUUCACUUUGACAUUAGAUAAUGCCACAGCUAACGAUUCUAUGCAAGAGAUUUUGAAGGACAGGCUAAAUUUGGAUGAUAAUCUGUUGUGUAAAGGAGAAUUUUUUCACGUGCGGUGCUGUGCUCACAUCUUAAACCUGAUAGUACAAGAUGCUUUAGAUGGUAUUAGUGGUUCAUUGUCUAAGAUUCGAGAUACUGUGAAGUAUUUCAAAGCUUCAACAGCUAGAAGGAUUGCACUCUCAGAUUGCAUAGAAGGUGAUGAAGAAGCUGUCUUCUCUUUGGAUGUUCAGCAUAGAUGGAACUCAACUUAUUUAAUGCUUGAGAAAGCUUUGAGGUAUGAGCGUGCCUUAAAUAGGUUCAAAGUGGUUGAUAAAAGCUAUAGGCAUUGUCCCUCGAGUCAAGAAUGGAAGAGGGCAAAGAUUAUCCACGAGAUUUUGAUGCCCUUUUACUGUAUAACCACUCUAAUGUCUGGGACAAGUUAUUCUACAUCCAACUUAUACUUUGGGCAUAUUUGGAAGAUUCAGUGUUUGUUGGAAGUGAACAGGAGCCAUGAAGAUAGCAUCAUUAGAGAGAUGAUAUCUAAGAUGAAAAAAAGUUCGAUAAAUAUUGGGAGCAGUAUAGCGUUAUUCUAGCAAUGGAGGCAGUCUUUGAUCCUAGGAUUAAAUUUAGACUCCUGAAGCGUUGUUAUGACGAGCUUGAUCCCUUCACUUCGAAAGAAAAGAUUAAACAUCUUAAGGAUAAGCUUUAUAAGCUUUUUGAAGAGUAUAGGAAAAAGUAUCCUUUAACUCCUGUUGUGAGCUCUACAAGAGUAGACUCGCGUGUUGCUAAAAGAGGAAGAGGGAACUUGGAUGUACAAGAUAUGAUGUUCCAGACUAUUUGGAAGAAGGAAAGUCAGCUUUGGAUAUGUACUUAGAGGAUCCAAAGUUAGAUAUGAGGAGCCAUCCUAAUUUGAAUGUUCUGCAGUAUUGGAAAGAAAAUAGAUAUCGUUUUGGCGCUCUGACAUAUAUGGCAAUGGAUGUGCUUAGCAUUCCUAUAACUACAGUGGCUUCUGAAUCUUCGUUUAGUAUUGGUUCUCAGGUUAUAAGCAAGUAUCGAAGUAGAUUGUUGCCUAGUAAUGUUCAGGCUCUAUUGUGUACACGUUCUUGGAUACAUGGUUACCUACUUGAUGAUGAAGAUAAUGGCGAAGGUGAGAUGGUUAUUAUUCGAGCAAGCCCAAAUGGAGUAGAAGAAUCUGGAAGCAGCCAAAGAACUGAGAACCUUCAAUCCAAUCCAUAAUUAACUUCGACGUCCUCCACCGGAACUUGUAAGGAAGAGAUUGGUUCUGUCAGUAU